CUGCACCAUAAUGCAUAGCUACUCAACUCUGAUUUCUCCCCAUGAUUUAGGGACUGAAGUAGUAUAUGUGGGUUAACUUGCCUAGUGGUUCAUUUUGAAAAUUUCCUUUGGAGUUUUCUUUUUUUUUUUUUUUAUUUUCUCCCUAAUUUCACGGGAGGCCAAGUAGCUGUUCCCAUUAUUCCAGUAAGGAUUUGGGUUUUUUUUCAGUUUAUUAUCCAUUUCCACAUCACCUCUGUGACUUCAUUGUCCAGGUGUCCUGGUUUUGACACCACAACACCAGGAUAAAUUCAGGAGUGCAGAAGAGGUGUCGACUUAUCUAAUAAUGUAAAAUAAAUAACCUGUUUUCUUUAACUUCUCAAAGAAUAAUAGACUGUUGCUGACACAAAAAAAAAAAAAUCCAGACUGUUAUUGCCUUGCCAUGAGGCCAGGAUUUACAAAUUUCUAAUCAUCAGAGAGGUGAGACUUCAGGAAGGCUUUUCACUAGUGAGGUGUAGAAUAAAAAAGGAGAAGGGGAAGGCAAAAUAUACAACUAGUUUUGGAGAAAUCCUGUUGAGAACAAGGAGGUCUGGUGUAGAAUCUGAGACACUGGGAAACAAGACCCACUGACAGGAAUUCCCCUCCAUAGGAAUAAGAAACAGUUAAUUUGGCUUGACUUCUGGAGCUGUUGAAGAACAGAAUAUAAUCUUUACCACUGAUUCAAGAUUAAGGCUGAAUGAAAAAUAAAAAAUUAUUAGCCAAAUUUAGCCUUGUAGGAAUGUCCCAACUGAAAAUACAGACAGCAGAGCAUGGCAGAAUAGUCAACACAUUUGAACUC